GAUGAACGCUAGCGGCAGGCUUAAUACAUGCGAGUCAAGGGGGUAGCAAUACAACCGGCGCACGGGUGAGUAACGCGUACACAACAUACCAUAUACUGGAGUAUAGCUUUGGGAAACUGAAGGUAAUCCUCCAUAACAUUGCGAGAGGGCAUCUGAUUGCAAUUAAAGUUCCGGCGGUAUAUGAUUGGUGUGCGUUUGAUUAGCUAGUUGGUAGGGUAACGGCCUACCAAGGCGACGAUCAAUAGCUGGCGUGAGAGCGCGACCAGCCACACUGGAACUGAGACACGGUCCAGACUCCUACGGGAGGCAGCAGUAGGGAAUAUUGGACAAUGGGCGGAAGCCUGAUCCAGCCAUCCCGCGUGUAGGAAUAAGGCCCUAUGGGUUGUAAACUACUUUAUUAGGUAAGAAAAACUUUAGAUUUAUCAGAGCUUGACGGUACCUAAGGAAUAAGCACCGGCUAACUACCGUGUCAGCAGCCGCGGUAAAGUAGACGUCU
rnacentral:rRNA from 1 species